rnacentral:rRNA from 1 species
AUUGAACGCUGGCGGCAGGCCUAACACAUGCAAGUCGAACGGUAACAGGAAGAAGCUUGCUUCUUUGCUGACGAGUGGCGGACGGGUGAGUAAUGUCUGGGAAACUGCCUGAUGGAGGGGGAUAACUACUGGAAACGGUAGCUAAUACCGCAUAACGUCGCAAGACCAAAGAGGGGGACCUUCGGGCCUCUUGCCAUCGGAUGUGCCCAGAUGGGAUUAGCUAGUAGGUGGGGUAACGGCUCACCUAGGCGACGAUCCCUAGCUGGUCUGAGAGGAUGACCAGCCACACUGGAACUGAGACACGGUCCAGACUCCUACGGGAGGCAGCAGUGGGGAAUAUUGCACAGUGGGCGCAAGCCUGAUGCAGCCAUGCCGCGUGUAUGAAGAAGGCCUUCGGGUUGUAAAGUACUUUCAGCGGGGAGGAAGGGAGUAAAGUUAAUACCUUUACUCAUUGACGUUACCCGCAGAAGAAGCACCGGCUAACUCCGUG